rnacentral:sRNA from 1 species
GAACAUAGCGACAUAUUAAGCGUAACAACCUCCAUAAAAGACACCCCUAAAUCGAAAAUAAAAUAACAUCCAAUGAAUGAUGAAAUAUUUACCCAGCUCGCUUUGAUCUUAAGUGAAGAAAACUUCCGAACCAACGCAAAAGAAGUCUCUGAACCCAAACUAAUAUAAAAUGUUUUCGAUUUGGUGUAAACUUUUUUAAUAGCGUUAUGUAUUUCUCUUACAGAACGCAGUGGAUGGAAUUAUCAUUUUGCCCCUUCAUUCAAUCAGUCGAAGCGUCGCUUUCGCACACGCAAUUCUAGAUUCAAAAUACGAUUUGUUAUUUAGGUUUUGAAACGCGUAAAGAAUUUAACUGCGCACACUGCUUGAGGAACUUUCAGGUUUUGAAAUGUGAAAAGAAUUUAACAGCGGACGCUGCUUGAGGAACUUUGAGAACGCAGUGGAUGGAAUUAUCAUUUUGCCCCUUCAUUCAAUCAGUCGAAGCGUCGCUUUCGCACACGCAAUUCUAGAUUCAAAAUACGAUUUGUUAUUUAGGUUUUGAAACGCGUAAAGAAUUUAACUGCGCACACUGCUUGAGGAACUUUCAGGUACAUAAGUUAACAAAUUUAAAUUAAGCAAGGUUUUGAAAUGUGAAAAGAAUUUAACAGCGGACGCUGCUUGAGGAACUUUGAGAACGCAGUGGAUGGAAUUAUCAUUUUGCCCCUUCAUUCAAUCAGUCGAAGCGUCGCUUUCGCACACGCAAUUCUAGAUUCAAAAUACGAUUUGUUAUUUAGGUUUUGAAACGCGUAAAGAAUUUAACUGCGCACACUGCUUGAGGAACUUUCAGGUACAUAAGUUAACAAAUUUAAAUUAAGCAAGGUAACAUGGUUAUUUAUUUUCGAUAUUGGAUUUGUUUAAAGUGUAUUUUAGUCCACUAGAACGACUUUUUAGUUAAUAUACGGCUCGAUUUUACCUCAAUAAAUAAAGCAAUAAUAAAUAUAACAAAGUUUUAUU